UCUCUCUUUCUUUUCUUCUUCUUCUUUCUCUCCACCAGAUUCCUUAUAGCAAACACAUCCAAAUUUCUCUCUGCUCCCUAAACCACAAAAGUUACGACUUGAUCUUCUCUGGUUGAGUUUUUCAAUUGGGUGAUUUUUUUGUGCGUAGGGUGGGAAUGUGCCUUUGUCUGAAAUGUUGGGUACAUUUGCUCUAUCUGUUGGUGCUGCUGUGGGAAUGGAGUUUUGGGCAAGAUGGGCUCAUAAAGCUCUCUGG